AGGCCGAAAGGCGUAGUCGAUGGGAAACAGGUUAAUAUUCCUGUACUUGGUGUUACUGCGAAGGGGGGACGGAGAAGGCUAUGUUAGCCGGGCGACGGUUGUCCCGGUUUAAGCAUGUAGGCUGGUUAUCCAGGCAAAUCCGGAUAAUCAAGGCUGAGGUGUGAUGACGAGGCACUACGGUGUUGAAGUAACAAAUGCCCUGCUUCCAGGAAAAGCCUCUAAGCAUCAGGUAACAUCAAAUCGUACCCCAAACCGACACAGGUGGUCAGGUAGAGAAUACCAAGGCGCUUGAGAGAACUCGGGUGAAGGAACUAGGCAAAAUGGUGCCGUAACUUCGGGAGAAGGCACGCUGGUGUGUAGGUGA
rnacentral:rRNA from 1 species